rnacentral:rRNA from 1 species
CCUACGGGAGGCUGCAGUGGGGAAUAUUGGACAAUGGGCGAAAGCCUGAUCCAGCCAUGCCGCGUGUGUGAAGAAGGCCUUCGGGUUGUAAAGCACUUUCAGUGGGGAAGAAAGCCUUGGGGCUAAUACCCUCGAGGAAGGACAUCACCCACAGAAGAAGCACCGGCUAACUCCGUGCCAGCAGCCGCGGUAAUACGGAGGGUGCGAGGUUAAUCGGAAUUACUGGGCGUAAAGCGCGCGUAGGCGGUCUGAUAAGCCGGUUGUGAAAGCCCCGGGCUCAACCUGGGAACGGCAUCCGGAACUGUCAGGCUAGAGUGCAGGAGAGGAAGGUAGAAUUCCCGGUGUAGCGGUGAAAUGCGUAGAGAUCGGGAGGAAUACCAGUGGCGAAGGCGGCCUUCUGGACUGACACUGACGCUGAGGUGCGAAAGCGUGGGUAGCAAACAGGAUUAGAUACCCUUGUAGUC